rnacentral:rRNA from 1 species
GAUGAACGCUGGCGGCGUGCCUAAUACAUGCAAGUCGAGCGGUAACACUUCGGGUGACGAGCGGCGGACGGCUGAGUAACACGUAGGAACGUACCCCAAACUGAGGGAUAACUGCUCGAAAGAGUAGCUAAUACCGCAUAUGGUCUUCGGAUUAAAGCUUCGGCGGUUUGGGAACGGCCUGCGCAUGAUUAGCUUGUUGGUGAGGUAAAAGCUCACCAAGGCGACGAUCAUUAGCUGGUCUGAGAGGAUGAUCAGCCAGACUGGGACUGAGAACGGCCCAGACUCCUACGGGAGGCAGCAGUAGGGAAUCUUCCACAAUGGGCGAAAGCCUGAUGGAGCAACGCCGCGUGCAGGAUGAAUGCCUUCGGGUUGUAAACUGCUUUUAUAUGUGAAGAUUUUGACGGUAGCAUAUGAAUAAGGAUCGGCUAAUUCCGUGCCAGCAGCCGCAGUAAAAC